AUGGGAUUUGAUGCUGCUCCUAAUGGCCUUCUUGGCUCCAUACAAAUGGCGCCUGGGAGCCUUGGAUUGGAUCUGAUGGUCCUACAACAGCUAAGGGCACGGACGUUGCAUUUGGUCCGCAACUCGCAUGACCUGGGGAGAUGCUUGCAAGUUUUGCGGGUUCAAGCGGCGACUUUCUUUCAUUCCCGCGACCUGGACGUCAUUGGCAAGGAACAAUCCGUGCAGGUUGGUGGGUUUGUCGUUCGUCUGGACUCUGCGCCUCCUGCCUUAAUGGUUGUCUCCGACAAAGAAGUAUUAUCUGAAUCAAGUUUAGCAAUUAACUAUUGA
rnacentral:rRNA from 1 species